UACGAACUGUGCGAACGUUAUUCGGAAUCACUGGGCUUAAAGGGCGCGUAGGUGGCGGCCCAAGUCCAUGGUGAAAGCUCGAUGCUCAACAUCGAGUCGGCCACGGAUACUGGGUUGCUCGAGCACUGUAGGGGCAGAUGGAAUUCCGGGUGUAGCGGUGGAAUGCGUAGAGAUCCGGAAGAACACCGGUGGCGAAGGCGGUCUGCUGGGCAGUUGCUGACACUGAGGCGCGACAGCGUGGGGAGCAAACAGG
rnacentral:rRNA from 1 species